rnacentral:rRNA from 1 species
CCCCUAGAUGUUCUGGGCCGCACGCGCGCUACACUGAACAGUUCAACAAGUCUUAACCUUGGCCGAUAGGUCUGGGUAAUCUUUGAACGCUGUUCGUGAUUGGGAUAGACCUUUGCAAUUAUGGGUCGUCAACGAGGAAUUCCUAGUAAACGCAAGUCAUCAGCUUGCAUUGAUUACGUCCCUGCCCUUUGUACACACCGCCCGUCGCACCUACCGAUUGAAUGGUCCGGUGAAAUCUCGGGACGGCGGCUUGGUCGCUUGCGUCCGACUGCUGAAACUUGAUUAAACCAUAUCAUUUAGAGGAAGGUGAANUCGUANCA